GCAGUUUCUUCAAGUGGCGGUUAUCCUCUGCAGCGUCCUUCUCGCAUUUACACAUCAAAAUGGUGAACAUAUAUAAUUUCAAGCAUUUCUUUGGGAGCAGAACGUUCUGAUAUAUUUUAUAAAUCAAGAGUAUAAAGUUCAAACAGCAAAAUAUUUUUUGAGUUCUUGUCACAGCGUGCCAUCAGAAAUUUCAAAGCACACAAUCCAGAUAAUUUUCAGUAAACUCAAAAAGAUUCUUGGCUGUUAUUAAAAAAAAAUAAUAACAUAUGGUGAACUCUUAAGAAUAAAUCACAACAAUUGGAAAAAAAUUAUAAUUUUAAAAAGUUUAUUUUCUUGAAGGAUUGUUUUUCAAAUGUUUUCUACAUGAAAAUUUAAAUCGAAGUCCACAUACACAAUUCCCAAGAGUUACUUGGCUAAAAGAAAAUCACUUUAACUAUCAAAUGUGGCAAUUUGCUUUCCUGGUAUUCAAUAAAAAUUAAUAUCUCUAAACAAAAAAAGGUCGAAAAAAUUCAAAAUAAGUAUAUUUCCUUGAAGGAUUGUUUUUCAAAUGAAAAUUUAAAUCGAAGUCCACAUACACAAUUCCCCAGAGUUACUUGGCUAAAAGAAAAUCACUUUAACUAUCAAAUGUAGCAAUUUGGAUCAUUAAAGGAAACAAAGACUUCAAUUCGUCACCUAACAAGAAAAAACAAAAAAAUUUUAAGUAGAGGAACAAUUCUGACAAAUUAAAUCGAUUCCUUUUUUUGAACUAGUUAGAGUCAAUGCGGUUUAUAAAUAAAAAUAGUAAUUGAAUUAAAAUUAGAGUCAGUGCGGGUCAUUAAAUAUUUUUUUCUAUAGAUUUUUUUAAUUUAUAAACAGUGUUUUGAAAAAUUUUUGAAAAUUUAAAUCAGUGUCGUAUUGAAGAUUGAAUUUGGAAGGAUUCCCAUCAGGCAUCGAUCUAUUUCAACUAAGGAGCUUUUUCAGGAUUGAAGGACAGAAAGGAUGAUUUGGAGAGGCACUGAUCGAGAUGGGACGAUUUUUAGUUUCUGCGACGAGA